rnacentral:piRNA from 1 species
UAAUAAACAACAACAAAAAUU